GACGAACGCUGGCGGCGUGCUUAACACAUGCAAGUCGAACGGAAAGGCCCUGCUUGCCGGGUACUCGAGUGGCGAACGGGUGAGUAACACGUGGGAGAUCUGCCCUGCACUUCGGGAUAAGCCUGGGAAACUGGGUCUAAUACCGGAUAGGAGCCAUUUUUAGUGUGAUGGUUGGAAAGUUUUUUCGGUGUAGGAUGAGCUCGCGGCCUAUCAGCUUGUUGGUGGGGUAAUGGCCUACCAAGGCGGCGACGGGUAGCCGGCCUGAGAGGGUGGACGGCCACAUUGGGACUGAGAUACGGCCCAGACUCCUACGGGAGGCAGCAGUGGGGAAUAUUGCACAAUGGGCGCAAGCCUGAUGCAGCGACGCCGCGUGGGGGAUGACGGCCUUCGGGUUGUAAACUCCUUUCGCUAGGGACGAAGCUUUUUGUGACGGUACCUAGAUAAGAAGCACCGGCUAACUACGUG
rnacentral:rRNA from 1 species